UAGGGAAUCUUCCACAAUGGACGCAAGUCUGAUGGAGCAACGCCGCGUGAGUGAAGAAGGUUUUCGGAUCGUAAAGCUCUGUUGUUGGUGAAGAAGGAUAGAGGUAGUAACUGGCCUUUAUUUGACGGUAAUCAACCAGAAAGUCACGGCUAACUACGUGCCAGCAGCCGCGGUAAUACGUAGGUGGCAAGCGUUGUCCGGAUUUAUUGGGCGUAAAGCGAGCGCAGGCGGAAGAAUAAGUCUGAUGUGAAAGCCCUCGGCUUAACCGAGGAACUGCAUCGGAAACUGUUUUUCUUGAGUGCAGAAGAGGAGAGUGGAAUACCAUGUGUAGCGGUGGAAUGCGUAGAUAUAUGGAAGAACACCAGUGGCGAAGGCGACUCUCUGGUCUGUAACUGACGCUGAGGCUCGAAAGCAUGGGUAGCGAACAGG
rnacentral:rRNA from 1 species